UACGGAGGGUCCAAGCGUUAUCCGGAAUCAUUGGGGUUAAAGGGUCCGUAGGCGGUUUUGUAAGUCAGUGGUGAAAGCCCAUCGCUCAACGGUGGAACGGCCAUUGGUACUGCAAGACUUGAAUUAUUAGGAAGUAACUAGAAUAUGUAGUGUAGCGGUGAAAUGCUUAGGGAUUACAUGGAAUACCAAUUGCGAAGGCAGGUUACUACUAAUGGAUUGACGCUGAUGGACGAAAGCGUGGGGAGCGAACAGG
rnacentral:rRNA from 1 species